UCUGUCCCUAGAGGCUUUGCAGGUAUGGCUGGUGUGUCAUGUGCACAUCAAUAGGUGGCAGAGAGGAGAGAGGCUAUGUCUACACUCUGUUCUGACAUUUGGGCAAUGGAAUGAUUAGUGCCCUAACAUU
ensembl:snoRNA LOC120101300 small nucleolar RNA SNORA17